AAGUCGUAACAAGGUUUCCGUAGGUGAACCUGCGGAAGGAUCAUUAUCGAAUUUACCGAGGGUUGUUGCUGGGGUCCCUAACCGGGAUUCAAAGUGCACGCCCUUGUCUAUUCUCAAACCCCUGUGCACUUAUUGUAGGCUCGGUGGAAAGACCGACUUCGGUUGGUCUGAAAGCCUUGCCUAUGCUUUAACACACGCUUCAGUCUAUGAAUGUAACUUUGCGGAUAACGCAUUAAAUACAACUUUCAACAACGGAUCUCUUGGCUCUC
rnacentral:misc_RNA from 1 species